rnacentral:tRNA from 4 species
CGGGGCAUAGUGUAAUGGCAGCACGAGUCCUUCGGGAGGAUUUAGUCCCAGUUCGAAUCUGGGUGCCCCGA